CCAGAGCCCGGAGCUGGGAGAUGGCCAGUCUUGUCCUGCCUGAAUCUUCCAGGGGCCCUUGGCUCCUCUGCUGCGUGGCCCUCUGUCUUCUGGGGGCAGGUUCUGUGGCUACUGGAGUCACCCAGUCCCCAAGACACCUAAUCAAAAGUCGUGGGGCGGAGGCUGUUCUGAAGUGCCAACCCAUCUCUGGACACAGCAGUGUGUACUGGUACCAGCAGGCUCCGGGACAGGGCCCUGAGUUCCUCAUUAGUUUUUAUGAAAAGGAGGAGGGACAGAAAGGAAACAUCCCUGAUCGGUUCUUAGGAAAACAGUUCGAUAACUACAGCUCUGAGCUGGCCAUAAGCGCCUUGCAGCUGGGAGACUCGGCCGUGUAUCUCUGUGCCAGCAGCUUAGACACAGCCCUGCAGGGUCAAUGGCUUUCUGUACUCAAACCUCCCUGCCCAGAUGAGGAUGUCACAGGAGAGGGAGGAGCCUUAGCAAGUUAUAGGACUUGCUACUUUUGUAACAUCCUCCCUGGCUUGCUGAGCUCAGCUAGAGCUUUCCUGAGUGUCCUCCCAGCUCUGCCAGCACCUUGCAUUUCUUAGCACAUGGCAGGAACUCCUGCUGUGAUAGAGUGGGGUCCAUGUUGUGUGUGCUAAUGCAUUGCCAGCAAUGUGUGUCCACUUUACAGAGGAGGUUGCUCUCAAUAUACCAUUUUAUAGUCAGGAAGCUGCAGAUCCUGGAAAUUCUGAAUAUUUCACAUAUGUUAACUCUAAAUCUCCAGGCCUCCAAAAUCAACAUUACCCCUAGAAUUCCAUGAUGCUUCCUGGGCUUGGCCCAUCCUAUCUAAUAAAAGAGAAACAUGCAAAUUGAUCGUACCUCUGCUAUGCCCACAAGCCAUGCUCACCAACCAAUCCGGAGCGAGUAUGCAAAUUAACCCAACCAAGAUGGUGGUUAAUUUGCAUAACCAGGAGCAGAGCGAAGACUGAAGACAGUGUAGAAGGAAGCCAAGCGAAGCUGUGGGGAAGCAAGUGGGGCA